GACGAACGCUGGCGGCGUGCUUAACACAUGCAAGUCGAACGGAAAGGCCCUGCUUUUGUGGGGUGCUCGAGUGGCGAACGGGUGAGUAACACGUGAGUAACCUGCCCUUGACUUUGGGAUAACUUCAGGAAACUGGGGCUAAUACCGGAUAGGAGCUCCUGCUGCAUGGUGGGGGUUGGAAAGUUUCGGCGGUUGGGGAUGGACUCGCGGCUUAUCAGCUUGUUGGUGGGGUAGUGGCUUACCAAGGCUUUGACGGGUAGCCGGCCUGAGAGGGUGACCGGCCACAUUGGGACUGGGAUACGGCCCAGACUCCUACGGGAGGAAGCAGUGGGAAUAUUGCACAAUGGGCGGAAGUCUGAUGCAGCAACGCCGCGUGCGGGAUGACGGCCUUCGGGUUGUAAACCGCUUUCGCCUGUGACGAAGCGUGAGUGACGGUAAUGGGUAAAGAAGCACCGGCUAACUACGUG
rnacentral:rRNA from 1 species